GAUGACGGGUCGGGUUCAUUCUCUCCUGUUGCGUGGAAUGUGUUUAUAUAAAGACAAGCACUACAAACCAGGAGAGUCUUUCAGGAGAGGCUGUGACAAAUGCUUCUGUCAUGACUUUGGUUUUUAUUGCUUCGCGCCGAUGAAGCCCACCUCUUGGCCCAGGAAGUGUCGUCGGAUCAGGACAGAAUGUGGUUACACAGUCGUUUAUAAAGAAAACCCACAAGUGGAGUGCCGAGCUUACAGCUGGAUAGGAUGACUUGCUUGGCUUUACUUUUAAACUAUUUUAAACAUGUAGAUGUUCUGCAUAGUAAAUACUGUGUAUAUACUGUACUGUUGUCAAACUUUGGUUCUGAACAGCAUGAUAUUAUUGCUAUAAGUUUGAUGAGGACAAAUCAAUUCAUAAUUUGAUGCUAAAGGUCUCACUAAAUACAAGAUGGAUGAAAGAGGGUGUCAUCUCUACAGGUCAAGCUGCCAUUAUUUGAUUUCUGCCUUGUCUUUUACACAUGAAUUUAGUCAGACGAUGAUCAAUUUAAUCUGAUCUGAUAUUUACAUCUUAAGGGCUUUGCUUUAUAAGAGAUUCAGCAUGUUAGAAAGGUUAGUUAUGUUUAAGAACAGCAUCAAAACAUUUCAUAAUACAGUAGGCUACUGCAUGGUGCAUGAAAGUGGUACAGAUAUGAACUGUAUUAGUAUUAAAAGAGCUAAUGUUAUCUAUAGUCUGAUGAAUGAUUGCCUGUUGUAAGAGGCUAAUGGGUCAAAAUGACAGUACUGUAAUGUGUAGUGUUGAGAGGAGGUUAAACCACAAUAAAAGUAGCAUGUGAUGUGAAACUGACGAUGACAGAAAACGGUCAAACAAAAGAGUCAAUAUAGAAUGUAUGGAUGGAUAUUUUACUGCGCAGGAUUUUUUAUUUUUCUACUUUAUUUGUAAAUUUUUGUUUAUUCCCUUUUUAUUAUUGGUAAAACAGUUCAACUCUGCUACAUGCAGAGCUACUAUGGAGCUACUAUAUGACAUCAUCCAUUGGUUUGUGGACUGCUGUUUUGAAGCCUUGAGUUUGGCAUCAUGGCAGUAGCCAUCUUGAUUUUCUGAAGCCAGAAGUGAUUGUAUUUGGAGAAGAGGCUGAGCUGUGGAGAAGCAAGGGAUGGAUCUAGCUUAUAGACUGCACCAACCAGUAGCUAUUUUUUUGGCAAAUAUGUCAGUAGCCUCACAGACAGCCUGUCAAUCAAGUAACCCCGUCCUUAAAUAUGCAUAACUUUGGGUCUUAAUAAAUAAUAGUAAUAGUAAAGUAAAAUAAUAGUAAAGUUGGGCAGUGGUCUAUGGGAAUUGACUCAGUUUAAGAGCCAGCCUCAAGUGGCCAUUUGAGGAACUGCAGUUUUGGCACUUUGGAGCCCCUGAGGUUGCUGCUUGGUGGUGCAUUUGCAUUCAUUGAUUUUAUUUUAUUUAUUUUUUUGCCACUUGGGGGCAGUAGAACCUAAU